rfam:Rattus norvegicus chromosome 15, whole genome shotgun sequence.
GGGGAUUUAGCUCAGUGGUAGAGUGCUUGCCUAGGAAGCGCAAGGCCCUGGGUUCGAUCCCCAGCUCCA